rnacentral:rRNA from 1 species
UGCCCUGAAGUGGGGAUAACAUCUGGAACAGGUGCUAAUACCGCAUAACAACGAAAACCACAUGGUUUCGUUCAAAGAUGGUUUCGGCUAUCACUUCAGGAUGGGCCCGCGGUGCAUUAGCUAGUUGGUAAGGUAACGGCUUACCAAGGCAAUGAUGCAUAGCCGAGUUGAGAGACUGAUCGGCCACAAUGGAACUGAGACACGGUCCAUACUCCUACGGGAGGCAGCAGCA